UCCGGGAAACCGAACAGUAAAAAGUCCGCGCCUUUGGGUGUGUUCCUUCCGACCCGGAACUGUGUGUGUUGCACUGUUGAAAUAGUAAGACGGCUAAAAUAAUCUCAUUGUAUUUCAUCAGUCGGUUUGCUAUAUUGUAAAUUGAUACAUGUAUUGACUGCUUAUUACAACAACAACAAAACAAAACAAAAAUCGAAGUUCUGUCGCUCGGAACAAUGGAUUCUAACUUCCGGGGAACUAUCUGAAGCGUGCAUGAGUCACGUGACGUGCAAGCCGUUUGGACUUCCGUUGUCGCAACUCUCUGUCUCAACGGCUCCGAUGCGUCUGAACCACAGCAACUCUUGAUUUAACAUACGAAGACUUUACUUUUUUGAGGGAAGACAUCACAAAGUCAGUAGAUCAGCUGACAGAUCAGGUAAAGGGUGAGAGGGCCCUCAGAGAACCUCCACUCUUUUUUGAAAAGCAUUGUUCAGUCUCUCAACCAAUGUAUUCAGACAAUUUUUAAUUUAUGUUAUGACAUUCAUUUCUUAGAAAACACUAAUAACAAACAAAACAAACUUUUAAUUCCAGGCUUUCCAGGGUUAUGAUUAUACAUAUUAUGGCCAUUAAUAAAGGACAUAUAUUGCAGUGAGCAGAAAUAUUACAAUAGCAAUAAUUAGCAUAAAUGUACAGUGUUAAAAUCAGGGGAAGUCAUUAUUCCGUUUAUUUCACUUUUAAUUGGGAACAAUUGCUGGAAUAAAAGUUUUAUUCUUCAGUAUUAUUUCGAGAUGUGGUUCACAGCACAAAACGUAGAAGGAUCAAAGUGCAUAUGGGUGUACAGUUCUUUUGUACCCACUGUCUACGGAACAGGCCGCGUGAGGUUUCGCAUGCUCGAUUGGUCACAACAAGGACACAUCUGCGCCAUCAUACUAGAUAGCUUCAACACGAUACUGGUCACAGCAAGGACACAUCGGCGCCAGCAUGAUUAUGUUUGGUAUCAACAACACAUUGUCCACAUUACUUACAGUCAGGACACAUUCUGCCACUACAGUAACCAAUAUGUGGGUGAGCUAUUUGAAUUACGUUAUAUUCUGAAGAAACAAUCCUUGAUCACAAAAAUGGGAGGAAUUUUGGGGCGAGGCAUGAGAAAGAAAAUGUGAAUGAGAAGACCCCCCACGGAGGCUGACAAACAAAAUACCUUUCUAAAAUGCAUGUUACUGAACCAAGUGGGGCACUUGCUUGAAAUGAACCCUCCUCUUCCUCUUGGCAGAUUUUCGGAGUCUUGUUUUGGUACAUUUUAGAACUACGCACAGAAAUAUCAGCAAGGACGCAAAAGAGCCCCAGCGCAGCAGCGUAUACCAGAGUGGCAACCAAGUCUGUGUCCUGAAAAGGCAAAACAUUUGAUUAGUUGUUCACUUUGAGAAUAAAAACAAAUCUAUGGAUGACUCUAA